CAGCACCCGGCGAGUGUCGGCGAAGAGGUGCAGCAGCAGCGACUCUCCCUCCGGCGGCUGCAGCAGCAGAGCCAGGCACACUGCAAUCCCAUUAGUGAGUGGCGGCCACUCUAAUACCAGGAGAUAUGAAACUGGUUAGUCCCCACAUGUUGCACAUAAAAAGAAUUCAUAAUGAGCAUCUGUGGGAUGUGGAAUGGAUCCCAUGAGUUAGCUGAAGACCUCAUAACGUGAAAAAAUAUCUCUUCAAUGGAAAUUCAUUUCCAUUUACUUAAAGUUAAACGGUUUGACUUUGAAUUUUCAUUAUCUGCUGUUGGAAGGAGCCUGUGACAGGUGAAGAAGAGUCUAUGAGUGGGAAUAAUGGAAAAUAUUUUGACUUUUGAGAGACUCUAAACUCUUCAAACCUAUUGUUAUAACAGAUGAUGCUUGACAUUGCAAAUCGUUCUGUCUUCCUUUUACUUGUAAGUCCUGUAAUCUGUAAUAGACUGUGUACAUGCA